rnacentral:tRNA from 1 species
GCGGGCAUAACUCAAUGGCAGAGUCCCGGCUUCCCAAGCCGGUUAUGCGGGUUCGAUCCCCGUUGCCCGCUCCA